GGCUAGUCGGACUAUGGUGGUGUUUACAACUCAUUUAUCACAACUAGUUACAGAUUGUUGUGUUCCUCCUCCACUCCCCCUGAUUCACUUGGUUAA
rnacentral:sRNA from 1 species